rnacentral:lncRNA from 1 species
GAGAAGUGAGGUGGGUCCCACUGUACCCCACGUGUGCGACUUUGCGAAAAAGGAGAGUGGCCCAGCACAUCGCGUCGGCACGUGUCGUGAGAUGAAGAUGGAAGGUCGAGUGGCUCUCCCUUCUCUUCGACACACUCACUUGCUAGGGUUGUCGCAAAGUGCAGGCCCACCCUCAGAUUCCACCACUCGCGCUGCUCGUCGCG